rnacentral:misc_RNA from 1 species
AAAAGUCGUAACAAGGUCUCCGUAGGUGAACCUGCGGAGGGAUCAUUACUGUAACCCCGGCUCCGGCUGGAGGAACACCAACCCUUUGUUGUCCGACCGCGUUGCCUCCGGGGCGACCCUGACCUCCGGGUCUGGGGGACCCCGGGUGGACACCUAAACUCUGCGUAACUUUGUAGUCUGAGUAAAAUUUUUAAUAAAUUAAAACUUUCAACAACGGAUCUCUUGGUUCUG